rnacentral:lncRNA from 1 species
GAUAAGCCACGUCGUAGCAUGCGAACCAUCCGACCUAACCGGCGCUACUUGGACUAGUUAGGAUCGUGGCUCAUGGGUCUCUAUAAUAGCUUCCUUAUUAAUAGCUUCUUUAUUAUUAUAAUUCCUAGUUAUUAUAUUUUUAUAGUAUUUUAGUUAAGUUAGUCUUCUUUAAUUAUUAGGAUUAGAAUUAUUCCUUGAUUAGUUUACGUAGCUUUAGGAUUGUCUUUCUUUUCUUUUCUAUAUAUUUCAACCAACGUGAUAAACAGAGGCACGUCGAAUAAAUAAAGUUUUCUCUAGUUUUUCUUGCAAUUCUUGCGUAGAAAAUCUGUCGGUACCAAAGCGAUCGCAUCAAUUGGUAUCAAGAGCGAGCUCUGUUACAACUGCUUAAAUGUGCUACGGUCAUGGCAACAAAUAAGGAAAGAUUUGAU